UUUCCCGGUGUAGCGGUGAAAUGCGUAGAUAUCGGGAAGAACACCAGUGGCGAAGGCGCUCUGCUGGGCCAUCACUGACGCUCAUGGACGAAAGCCAGGGGAGCGAAAGGGAUUAGAUACCCCUGUAGUCCUGGCCGUAAACGAUGAACACUAGGUGUCGGGGGAAUCGACCCCUCCGGUGUCGUAGCCAACGCGUUAAGUGUUCCGCCUGGGGAGUACGCACGCAAGUGUGAAACUCAAAGGAAUUGACGGGGGCCCGCACAAGCGGUGGAGUAUGUGGUUUAAUUCGAUGCAACGCGAAGAACCUUACCAGGGUUUGACAUCCUGCGAAUCUCUUGGAAACUUGAGAGUGCCUUCGGGAGCGCAGUGACAGGUGGUGCAUGGCUGUCGUCAGCUCGUGUCGUGAGAUGUUGGGUUAAGUCCCGCAACGAGCGCAACCCACGUCUUUAGUUGCCAGCAUUUAGUUGGGCACUCUAGAGAGACCGCCGGUGAUAAACCGGAGGAAGGUGUGGAUGACGUCAAGUCAUCAUGCCCCUUACAUCCUGGGCUACACACGUACUACAAUGCUACGGACAAAGGGCAGCAAGUUCGCGAGGACAAGCAAAUCCCAUAAACCGUGGCUCAGUUCAGAUCGUAGGCUGCAACUCGCCUACGUGAAGGAGGAAUCGCUAGUAAUCGCAGGUCAGCAUACUGCGGUGAAUACGUUCCCGGGCCUUGCACACACCGCCCG
rnacentral:rRNA from 1 species